AUUAUCCUCACCAGAGGUUUACCUAACCCAGAAAAAUCAAUCCAUCAGGAGCGAUGUAGGGAGUGCUGAUCCCACAGGGUGGCCAAGAGGAUCUCUCAAGGCCUCCAUGAGCUCUUCUGAGCCAAAAUUGCCCUUUCAAAGAUUGUGUGAACCUUACUAAGCAAGGACAAAUGGGCUUUGGAGCUCUGGGAGCCACCUGCAACACAGCAAAACUUGCCAGAGGAAGACAAGAGCAUACAUUUAACUCCCUUGCUUCAGUUACAUGAACAAGUGGAGAUGCCAAAUAACUCUCUCUUAAUUUGGGACCAAGCUUCCCUGGCAGCUGGUGCAUUAGGAGGGUCAAGCGCUUUCCCUGUGUUACUAUUGAAAUCACGGCCUCUCCCCUCUACAGAACAAGUUAAAGAAGCCAAAUAUCUUUUGAUUUAGUGUCUGCAUUUGGCUCUAUGGAAAAUUAAUUGUAUACAUUUGCUAUACACACCCCCCACUGCAUUGAUAAGGAGCUUUUUCAUUCGUUUUAUUCAACUGCAAUAAUUACAGCGUCUGGGCUUUGCAUCGCUGAUAACUGUGAAAGGCUGAAUGUGAGCUCACACAAAAGGUGCUGAUUCGAACCUUCCCGCUGUGUUUUUUAGGGGAUGCCAUUAGCACACGGCGCUGAUGAGCUUUUCAUUAGCAAACCCCAUUGAAUUCGCAUUUCGGGAAGGAAACCAGCUGUUGCAUUUGUGCGCGCAGCCAAAGGGCUGCUAUCAAGAAACCCAGACGUGAAGCCUUCGUUUCCUUCAGCAGAAAACGGGAGUUAUCGCUCCCAUCCCGCCCGAAUUGGGCCCAAAAAUGAAGCUGAAGGAUGAGACCAGCCUGGGCCUGGCGGGCUCCGGAACUAAAGAGCGCGGCUCAGGUGCCGGCCGGACCCGCGCACGGCGGCCGGAAGUGGGAGGGGAGAGAGCGCGGAGCCGGCGGCGGGUGCUCCGGUCGGUGCCGGCGGGGCCCGGCCCGGCCCGGCCGCGGGGCUGGUGCACCAUGGCCCACAGCCAGUCUCGGAAGCGAUCACGGAGCAGGAGCAAAAGCAGUUCUCGGAGCAGACAGGAGAGGAAGGAGAAGAAAAGGAGGAAGAGCAGCAAGGACUCGCAGCAGGGCAGCAGCUCUCCUCCGAGGAAGCGGACGUCUGGGUGUCACAGACACAAGUCGAGCUCAGUGGCAGCUAAGGAAGAAAAGAAGAAAGAAAGAAAGGACAAAAAGAAGAGGAAGGCAAGUACCUCUUCCUCUGAGACAGCAUCUUCAUCCACCAGCUCCUCCUCAUCUUCCUCUUCUUCCAGCUCCUCUUCUGAUGACUCCAGUGACAGUGACUCCAAAACAAAGAAGAGUCGACACAGCAAAAAAAAGCGAGCAAAAGAGAAAGACAAGAAGAAGAAGAAGAAGAGAAUAAAGAAGAAAUCAAAAAAGAAGUCAAAGGAAAAGGCUAAGGAGGAGAAAGCCAAGGGAGAAUCAGUGCCCGGCCCCUCGCUGGAGCAGUGGCAGAAGGAAUCUCUGGUGGACUCUGGACCAGUUUUGACAGAUGAACAAAAGUCCCGAAUCCAGGCUAUGAAGCCAAUGACAAAGGAAGAAUGGGAUGCGAGGCAGAGCGUCAUAAGGAGAGUGGUGGAUCCUGAAACAGGGAGAACCAGGCUUAUUAAAGGAGAUGGAGAAGUACUGGAAGAAAUCGUCAGCAAGGAGAGACACAAGGAGAUUAACAAGCAAGCCACCCGGGGGGAUGGUCUGGCCUUCCAGGCAAGGACGGGGAUGCUGCAGUGAGCACACAAGCACCAGCCGUGCCAGGAGCCUGUCCUGCUGCCCGGGCCAGCGCAGCCUCUGCCUCUGGACCAUGCAGGCAGCACCACGGCAAGAUGCUUCCCCAGGGGCAUUUCCAGCCGCUCUAGUCUUCCCCCCCCUCAUAUAAAAAGCAGACAGAGAAGAGCCUUCCCAUUUCUUUAAUCUGUGUAACUCACAAUGAUACUGUACACAAAGCACACCCAGGCAUUGGAACGAUGCACUAACAGCAAGGAAGAGAAGGAAGUUGUACAGAAGGGUUUGUCACACACAAGCGAGUCAUCGGCACGGUGCUGUACACCCAGGGGCGUACCCAGCGCCCUCGGGCAUGCCCUCCGGCGUUCCCCACGCGCCUCUGUUACCCCUAAAGCAAGUUUUUAUAAAGAAAAAUAUAACUAACAUCCUUGGAAUAUAAAAUUGACAGUCGAGGGGGUAUCAACAGGCAGAGAGGGUGCUGAGGAGGACAGGGAGGGGGACCGUAAGGCUUCUAGAACUAAUAGGAAAUGCAGCAAACAGUGGCGAUACCUGAAGAAGGGGCUGCUGCAGCAAGCACGGAGGCUGCCGGGCGGCGCGGGGGGGUUUGUUGUAACCCUUUGGCUAGUUCCUGCUCUCGGCUCGCGUAUCGGACACUGUAAACGUUUUUGGUAUUAGGAUUUCGCCUCAUCUUGACGGAGUGAUGCGGAAACCCAGCAAACCGGCUCGGAGGGAAUGCAUGGGGCUCCUCUUUUUAUUCUUAAAAGACUUUUAAAGGGACAGCGUCAGGUAGAAAGUCUGGCCCGAUAGUGCAGUAAUACAAAAAGCUGCUUGUCUUUAUAAAAACUCUGAGCUCCGCAGCAAAGUUGGAUUCCCAUGGAAACAACGAAGAACAAGGAGAGGCUGAGGCAGCCUGUGCAGCGCGGGCUGCGUUGUGCUCGUGUGUGAGAACAGGACGUGGGCUGCAGCAGCAGCAGCGCGACCGUCGCUGGUCGCACCGAGGGCUGCCCAGACAACGGUGAAGGGAGGAAGGAGUACAAGAAACUUCAGAUUCUUUUCAUUGCAAACAAGUGGUUCGUAACAAAAGGUAAGAUUAGGUCUUUAACCUGACAGUGCCCCUUUAGUAAGGAUGGAAUAUACAUUCAUCUUUUCCCUCACUGCAUCCAGACGGAUCCUCUUCCAUACAGGUGGAAAGGCAUCGGGUCACAUGCAUUGCUCUCCAAAACAGCUCGGAACAAACAGGUUAUAAACACAGAGUUAAACUAUUGCUAUUGUUCUUUGAGUGAGUAGCAUGUUGAUCUUUGCUUCAGAUAGAUGAGUGCCAGAUGGGGGCGGCUGAGGAUAGAUUGAUGUAGACUAUGAUGGACUGAAUCGGUGGAGGAAAACUUACUGGCGUGUUUCCUGGUAACUACACCCACCUCCUCUGGUAUUAUUGCAGCAAUAAAGGUCCUGCUCUACAAUUGCUUCUCCGUGUUGGAUCCGUACAAUGGCAACGGAUGGGGGGCCAGGGAAAGGACCCGGGCAAGUUUCAAGAAGCUCAACAAAGGAUGAGGACGGAGGUGCUAUGAUUGUCAGUCUAACUGGUUAGUAGCCAUUUAAAACAUGGAGUGAUGGAGAGGUGAGUAUAAUAUUGCACUUCUGCAUUCAUUGACGUUACAUUAAACUUGGUCCAUAAAAUAAUUGCUUUGUACAUAAUGCCUGAAACAAAAAGCUACAUUUUUAAAUAUUAAUAAACCCUGAAGGUUCCAGUCCCUCCAGACAUUUGUUGUUUUUUUUUUUUUUCCUCUACAUAAAUAAAUAACUUUCAAUUUUAUAUAUCCACUUUUUAUGUUGAACAUUUACAUUCGCCUCUGUUUUACACUAUCUACACAUAAGAAAAUGUGAACAUCUUGUCAGCAUUGGAAAAUGUACAGAUCAUGCCUCAGUUGUGGACUUGGAGGAAAGUUGAAUUUUGCAAAGGCCAUAUCCAAAUUUGCAGGAAUUAUUGUGUGAUGUGGUUUGGUGACUUCACAGGAUGGAUUUGUGGCUUGGCUUCCUACUCAGAUGGCAUCUGUUGGAUAGAACAUUCGACUAGCAAAAAGCUGCGAUAACUCACGUUGGUUUUUAAACCCAGUCAAGCUCUGGAUGUACAUUCAGAGAGAGCUAAACCGAGUCGGCAGAAAGGGAAGUCAGUUUUCGGU